GAAGUGCGAUAAGUAGUGUGAAUUGCAGAAUUCAGUGAAUCAUCGAAUCUUUGAACGCACAUUGCGCCCCUUGGUAUUCCAUGGGGCAUGCCUGUUCGAGCGUCAUUUGUACCCUCAAGCUCUGCUUGGUGUUGGGUGUUUGUCCCCGUCUCCGCGCGUGGACUCGCCCCAAAGUGAUUGGCAGCCGGCGUACUGGUCCCGGAGCGCAGCACAUGUCGCGCAAACGAGUGCCUUGGUACGGCGGCGUCCAUAAGCCCCUCUCUCACGCUCUUGACCUCGGAUCAGGUAGGGAUACCCGCUGAACUUAAGC
rnacentral:misc_RNA from 1 species